GAUGAAGAACGCAGCGAAAUGCGAUAAGUAAUGUGAAUUGCAGAAUUCAGUGAAUCAUCGAAUCUUUGAACGCACCUUGCGCUCCUUGGUAUUCCGAGGAGCAUGCCUGUUUGAGUGUCAUUAAAUUCUCAAUCUUCUAAAAGCCCUUGUGGGUUGUUAGUAGAUUGGAGGUGGGGGUUUUAUGUGGGUUCACCUGUUGAAUCUGCUCUCCUAAAAUUUAUCAGCUGGAAUGCCUUUGCAAAACCAACUAUCAGUAUGAUAAUUAUCUAUGCUGGUGUUGUUGUGAAAGGGAAUCUACUUUCAAACUGUCUUCUUUGAGACAAAGUGAACCAAUUUGACCUCAAAUCAGGUAGGACUACCCGCUGAACUUAAGCAUAUCAAUAAGCGGAGGA
rnacentral:misc_RNA from 1 species